UAUUAUCAAUAUUGAAUGUGCAUUUGAAGACCAAUAAAGGUGAAGAUGGAAAAUGCCCAAAUGAGACAGACAUAAUGAUGAGACUUUCUUAAGAAAUGUGCUACAUUGUUUUGAAUUAGUCAGCCCCAAAGAGAAACACUGAUUGUGUUUUCUAUUGUAAGAGAAAUUAUCAAUUUUGUACUACACGUAGGACUUUUGGAAAUGUAUGCUAUUAUUCUGUUCAGCAUUGUAAAGAUAACAGGCAUAACUUUUUAGGUUACUUAUUGCUUUCUAAUUUGAUUUAUAUCUGUUCUUUCCUGCUUUUAGUCACGUGUGUUAGUUGUGUCAUGUAUUUAAUGUACUUGAAC
rnacentral:lncRNA from 1 species